rnacentral:lncRNA from 1 species
ACAUAGGAAGGCCCAGGUUUCAUCCCCAGCCCUGCAUAAACUGGGCGUGGUGUAGCAGCGUGCACCUCAUACCCUACUGAUCGGGAGGUGAGGGUCAUCCUCCGCUACAUAUAGGGAGUUUGAGGCUAGCCUGGGCUAUGUGAGGCCAGGUCUCAAAAUAAAACAACAGCAGCAGCCAAACAACCAAGUAGUCGUGAACUGUUUUAUCCAGCUGGGAAAUAUUAAGCAAUUUUAAUCCCUUUCAUAGGGUAUUUGGAAAUAGCAAAUGUUGGGAAGGCUGUGCGUGAGUGACAUCUGGAAGCCGUGUCCAGGAUGCCAACCCCUCUCCCCUACACUAAGCUCAGCACAUGGGAAGCAGAGGCAGGCACAUCUCUGGUUCAAGGCCAAUUGGAGCUACAUAGAUAAACCCUGUCUUAAACCACUGCACCAUUGCAAAAUCAGGGCUCCCCGGAAGAGCCUCUGAAAAAGGAAGGUAGCAUCACUAUUUAUCCUUCUGAGGUCACUCCCAUUAGAGUCAAGGUCACCAGGUCAGACCCUGGGGGACGGUUGUGGUUUGUGUCUAGAUGCAGUGGAGGAGGGAAGUGGCCAAGGCCCUACCUACCUGAGACAAGGGGCUGGAGGCCCGUGCAGAUGUGGAUGGUGUGGGGCUUUCCUCACAGGGACAGUGUAGGCUCUUCCUAUAGGUGCUGGGGUCACUUUAAUCUCAGGGUGCCACAGCAGACUCUCACCACACCCUAACAUGUAGGCUCACCGUAACAGCCUCCAGAAGCUGGCUGUAAUGUCCCCAGCAUUCCUCCCUCUGGUAUAGAAAACAAAUCUUUUGUUCAUUGUGCUAGGGUCUGAAUGGCUUUGUGGUCCGCAAGUGUGACUUUCUGGCUAGCCUCUGGAUAGGAGCGGAGCAGAGCGGAGCGGAGUGAGAGGCCUGUUAGGGAAGGAGUGAGGCAGAGUUCUGUAUGGCCCUGGACUCCUGGCUCUUACUUUGAUCCCUAUCUUCCUUCUCUGGGAGGACAGCAUGGCAGCUUCCACCAGCCUAGACUCAAGUUCUGUAGACUUUUCCGCAGCCAGGCCUCUAAAUUCCAGAACCAGAUGAGUACCCAGGCAGGCAGCAGACACCCCAGCCCUGGUGGGUCUGGAAGGGAGUUCCGGCCCUUCCCACCUUCCUACUCAUCCUGCUCUGGCCUCCGACCUGACUACCUGUCUAGGAAUUUUUAUUGCAGCCCACGGGGGCACUGAGGCUGGCCGACUGGAAUGCCAGCACGCCUGGAUCUGGCAGGCAUGGAGCCGACUUUGGGUAGGCAGAUCCUGGCUCUGGGCCGGAGUAGAGGCUAAGAGCCCCUGGCCUACUCCCAAGCCCAGUCGGGGCAUCCUGGGUGUGUGGCUCAGAGCUUGUCUGGGGAUUGUGACGCCGCUUUGUGCUUUGAUUUUUGUCUGGUGAAUUCUGAUUUCAGUUUGGCUUAACCACUUACCAGGAAGACAGCGAUCUAGGGGGCUGUGAUGAACAGCCAGCCAUGAUAAGCUCUGAAGUCCAGCGCAACCCCUUGGGUUCUUGAGACACAGUAGAGCACCAAGUAUUCAGGGGUGCUGACUCCAGCCAUUUCUCAUAGUUCUCUGUGUGUGUGUGUGGGGGGGGGGUUCCCUCCUACCACUGUGGACAGUGAUACUUGGGAGGUGCUUGUGUGAGGCUUUGGUAGGUGGCAGAGUUCCCGCAGUUAGCCCCAGCACCCUCUUCAUCCUUGCAGAAGUGCGCUACGUGCUUGGUCAGUACACAGUCCCUGGUUGAAUUGACCUUAGCAGCCAGUAUUGGUCUGGAUGGAGAUGGUGACUCAGGAUACCCUGGAGAAGACACAGGGUUCGCGACUUCUCUCUGGACAGGCGUGCUGUGGCAGGGCUGGAGGGAGGCACACAGGCUCCAGACCAACUCCCUCCUAGAACCUGCCGCAGGCCAGAGGUGCUGAGCCAGGGCUCUGAACUGUUACUUCCUUUCUUUGCUUCUUAGGAGGGAACUCCCUCCAAGAGUCCAUCCCCCUGCCACAGGCCCUGUGUGGUCUGGUACCUUUGAAGCAACACCCAUGCUGUCUGUGAGGCCAGGUCUGGGGGUUCCAGGCACCAGUGAGCUCUGCAGCUCCAGGAUUCCACCAGCGUACCUGCUGUUCUAAGCAGCCAGGCAAUGCCUGCUGAAGUCUUUGCCAGGCGAGGACAUUCCUGCCGAGCCCCUGGGGUGGACUCGAGACCCAGGACAGAGGUACCAUUGGCCCACUGUUGGAGCUGGAGGGUCUGACUCUGUCCCCACCCAAAGGGAAUGUCCACAGGUACAGCUGCCUUCAGAGCUCGCUUCAAAAUGGGGUGAUUCUUCUCAGAGUCCUGUGAGAACGUGUGCCUUGGGGUGGGCAUCUUAUAACUCAAGAGACAGGUCUGUUUUAGUAAGCUGUGGGUUAGACUGAAAGACAAGUGGAGAAUGUUCGAGGGGCCUCUGACUUCAAGUGGGAAAAGUUAGGCUCCUGAAGGAGAUGCUAAAAGGCGUUCAAAGGAGUUGUGGUCCUAGGGGGAUGCAGGCACUGUAAGUUUGCAGGCAGGCGCUGCGCCUAGUCAUGCAAGGAUCCUUUCUUCCCAUUUGUGCAAGACUGUAUGGUGGGGGGCCAGUGCUGGCGUCAAGCUGUGGGGUGAGUGUUUCUGAGCCUCCGUGGCGUUAAGCUCCAAGUGGAUCAAGUGCAAAGCUGGAGGUAUCAUGGCCAGCCCUGCCUGCCUGAUGAUGGGCAUGUCUUUUUCUCCACUGGGGGAGGGUGGGGUGGAGGGGAGAGUAAAGGGAGACACCUGUUCAGUUUCUCACAAAGGGUAGAGACCAUCUUUGAGUAAAAGCUCCAAUCCUACCCUACCCCCCAGGGGGAGGAGCUUGCAUCAGCAGGGGAGGGGCGCACAGGAGACCCAUCAGACCUUGGCCCUGGCCUGGCUGCUGGAACCCACCUGGGACCUCAGCCCCGGCUGUGGAAGGAACACUCUGGACUUGCUGAGGAGGGUCUGAAGAGAUGGAGCCCUUCCUCCCCUGCUGAGGAGAGGUCCCCUCCCUUCCUGUAUGUACCACUUUGUGCUUGAAUUGUGUUUUACUUAUUGAACACCUACUGUGCGCCAGACCUCAGGUUCUAUAAGUACACACAGUGUGACUGACAGUCAAGAGACUGGUGAGUUUGUACCUCAGCUUCAGAGUCCUGCAGGGAAAGCCAGGGCUCUAGGUGUGUGUCUUUGUAGACGCCCUGCCCUGCUGCCCGAGAGAGUGUUGUAAGCCAGAGUCUAGACCUUGGGGACGAGCCACUGUUUGGGGAGCACUGUGGCUCUUAGCUCAGAUGUGGCCGUGAGAUGGGCGGGAAGGACUCUGAUGUCUUCACCUUUAACGGCUCUUAGGUCACAGGUUCUACAAUGAGCCACAGGGCUUCACGCCCACUCCACAGAGUCCGCUGAUGUCUCACCAACUAAGGAGCCUCAAAGCCAGAGCUGCCUGUGUCCCGGGUCUCCCACAGUAGGUCGGACGGAGCCGGAGACUCCCCAGCUGUGCACGGUGCUCAGUUGGCCUGUGGCGUCCGUGCAGAUAGGAAAGAUUUGAAGAUUUGUGUUGGUGACUGUGUAGUGUAGACUCCUUAUCAUCCAUCCCUCCUUCCCCGAAUAGUGGGUCAGAGUUGCACACCGCACUCACCACUUUGGGUUACAUGAGUACAGGGGAAUAGAACUUGGGUACCCUGGAUCUUAGUUAGUGUGUGCUCUACCGCUGACCUGCCCCAAACCCCUCUCUCUACUGAAGUGCGUGAAAUAAGUCACUUAGAGGGGACC